AGCAAGUUCUUGCUGCAAAUUCAUAACUGGGGAGAUUCCUACUUGGCUCCCGUAUGGGUCUGUAUGCUGACUGAGAAAAUACAGAUGUGAUUGGAGCGUCAUUUUCCUAACUGCCUGCAGCAUUCUGCUAGAACCAAAGGCCUCCAUAGGCCUUUCCUGACUAGGAAAAGACAAAGGACAGAAGGGAGGAGUGAAAAGGAACAUUGGGCCAUCAGGAGAGAAGUGAACAAGUAGUUAACUCUCGAGUUCAUGAAUAAUGAUCUACUGUGCUACCCUCUGAAGAAGUA